CAAUAUGCAGGCGGGCUGGACCUCUCGGGGUUACAGCCUUGCUGAAUUAUUCACCCUUGUCUUUUGCGUACUUCUUGUUUCCUUGGUGGGUUCGCCCACCACUAGGACAAACAUAAACCUUUUGUAAUUGCAAUCAGCGUCAGUAACAAAUUAAUAAUUACAACUUUCAACAACGGAUCUCUUGGUUCUGGCAUCGAUGAAGAACGCAGCGAAAUGCGAUAAGUAGUGUGAAUUGCAGAAUUCAGUGAAUCAUCGAAUCUUUGAACGCACAUUGCGCCCUUUGGUAUUCCAAAGGGCAUGCCUGUUCGAGCGUCAUUUGUACCCUCAAGCUUUGCUUGGUGUUGGGCGUCUUGUCUCUAGCUUUGCUGGAGACUCGCCUUAAAGUAAUUGGCAGCCGGCCUACUGGUUUCGGAGCGCAGCACAAGUCGCACUCUCUAUCAGCAAAGGUCUAGCAUCCACUAAGCCUUUUUUUCAACUUUUGACCUCGGAUCAGGUAGGGAUACCCGCUGAACUUAAGCAUAUCAAAAGGCGGAGGAA
rnacentral:rRNA from 1 species